rnacentral:lncRNA from 1 species
UUAAAAUCACACUGAAAUCUUUUGCCCCAAAACUUCCUCUCUUUCUCUUCUAAAGGAUAUUCAAUAUUGGCUCACUUUGUAUUUCUCUCUUCAAUCCUCUUCUUUUGCUUUCCAAAUAAUUCUCUAACCUUUGGUAAGCUUAGAAGUAGCUGGAGAAGGAGUUUUGACUGUUGAGAGGCUCGAAUUAGCCAUUGGAGUGAAG